AAAUAUGAAGAUUUUUAGCAUUUUGAGACUUAAAAACCGUUGAAAAGACCACCGUCUAAAAGAUGAAAUAUGUUUCUGAUUAUACGAAAAAAUGCUGAUCAGUAUUCGCCGUAUACUAGAUGGCUUUUAAUAUUUGAAAAAAGAAAAUGAUGAUUCAAACAAGUAAUCAAACAAAGAAAAGAGGAAAGCAGAGAACCAUUACAGUACAUAUUUAAAAAAAUCUUAUCAUGAGGCAACAGUAGCUCUGGUUUGUAAUUCAUAAUGCUGAAAUACAUUGAAAUUGCAAGAUUGUGGACGGAAUGCUACAAGAAAAGUUGGCUACUGGUAUUUAAUACUUUUAUUCAUCAACAGCAUUGAGGACACUAUGGUAAUGCUGGUUGUUAAAAUGACACCAAGCAAUUUAAUGGACUGCUAUUGAAUAGCUUACUGGUAAGCAGCAUUCCUCACCUUAGAAAUACCAGCCAUUUACAUUCCUUCCUUUGGAUAAAUCCUGACGAACAGUCAUUUCUUCCCAAGGUGUGCUCAUAUCCCAUGUAAACGACGAUCAAAAAGGUAAAUAAUUUGAAAUCAGAACACUCAAGUAUAACUCAAAUGCUAUUUGGCUUCUCAGAGGUGAUGAGAUCAUAUUAUGCGUGAAAAACAUGAAAACAUAUAAAAGUGUAUACUCCCUUUCUAGGUGAAACUGGUGAGUUGCUUUAUAAGAUAUGACAAAAAAGAAAUUGGUCAAUACAAUUACAAUAUUUACAAAAUUUCUUCUUUUCUCUCAUCAUUUAUACACUGUGAAUUUUGUCGAUAAAUGAAGAGGACGAGUUCCCCUUCUUUUAAAGAGUUUUUGAUUGAGCCAGUGUAACGUUAUAAAAGAGGGACGACAGAUACCAAAGGAAGAGUCAAACUCAUAGAUAGAUAAUAAACUGACAACGCCAUAGCUAAAAAUAAAAAGACAAAUACACAAAUAAUAGUACAGAAGACACAACAUAGAAAACAAAAGACUAAGCAACACGAACCCCACCAAAAAUUUGGGGUGAUCUCAGGUGCUGCGGAACGGUAAGCACAUCCUGCUCCACAUGUGGCACCCAUCAACGUGUCAUGAAUAACAUAUUUGCUUCAUAAAAGUCAUAUCACCGAAAUGGGAGGUUGCUUAUUUAGGAGCAAUGAAGGCAACAGUAGUAUACCGCUGUUCGAAUGCGUAAUUUAAACGUUUUCUUCGAUAUCAGUAGUAUCAGUGGGAUUUCCAGUGACACUAGAACAAUAGAAAAAUCACUCUUCUUAUGAAAGAGAUAGAAAAGGUAGAACAAAAAGGAGAGAUAAUUUACGCAUAAAAACCGAUAUGCAAAGGGAUGAAUAUCUCUUAAAACACAAAACCAUUAUAUAACUUUUAUACAAUCACUAUAAGUAAAGUAUAUGUUAAAGCUAAAUUUGUUAAUAUAUGAAUGUUUAAUUGCCAAACAUGCUGUUAAUUGAACAAUCUAUUGUUCAACAUAGGGGUGUGUAAAAAACUGCCAGAUUUGACUGCAUAUUUUUCUUUUUUUUUGAAAAAAAUAUAUAUCAAACCUUAAUAAUGCAGCUUUCUGAGUGUCCAAUUUUUAACGUGUUCCGAAAUGUAGUUUCGUCACAAGAAUUUUUCAAAGUGGGUCAUUUUGUCUAUAUGAAUGUCGGUAAAUUCGUAUGAUCGAGCACACCGACAAGUGUAUCGUUGGGACAACUCGAUAUAAUGUAAUCAAUAUACGUGACAAAUAACCUAAUGUGAAGUUUAUUAAAAUCAUCAUAACAUAAUUGAUCAACACAUUAUAUUUGAAAAAACAUGAGUCCUAUAAUAUAAGACGUUCAAGGUUCAUAUCAUUUACAUUCAACGUUUUUAUUGGAUUUUUUUUUUACUUCAAUGUAACCUCGAGGUUAAACGUUGGUAGUAAAAAAAAAUCCCAGAAAAAUGUUGAUAUUGUAAAUGAUAUGAACCUUCGAAUUCUUAUAAUAUCGGAAUAGAAAUAUGUGAUCCGAAUUAACCAUGCACGUGUGUUGAAGAAGACUGCACUUUUAUGAAGUACAGGGGGUAAGGUGUUUUCUUAAACAAUAUUAUGAUCCAAAUUUGAGGAAUUUUGUUGGCAUUACAUGUACUUUAAAACAAACACUACAUAUAGGAAAGUAUAUGCUAAAUCUCAAUGUAUUAUUAUUAUGAAAAAACCUUCCCCCUCCCCCGGUUUGGCGUGUAACGGUUGAAACCUAAGGUGAUUCGCACUAACUGCCUAAAAGGGGGCCCGCUCCAGUCUUGCGUCAGUGGUUUAGAAUAUACUAGUAAUAAACAAAAUAUUGUCUCACACUAAUGACACAUUUAAGUUUUGGAAGGAUUUUAUUCACAAAGAAUGUUUCUCAUUUCUAUGCUCAUGUCUUUUCGGAGUUUAUAUUGGAAAUUAAAAAUUGUUGCAUGAAAAAGUCUAGCUCCACAUUCCUAUGCAUAUGAUUGUCAUAUGUACGUGAAAAUCAUUCCAUAAAACAUCCGUUUGAUAUCCUUUCAAUGCCAGGCACUGUCUAGUGUGGAAAAUUUGGCUAAACUUGUGUUGGAUCAGACACUUGAAUCUUACAUCGUUAUUGAUGUUAAGCAAUUAGUUUAACGGGCCAUCCGGAACUGUUGGAUUUUAUGAAAGUCUUCCUUCCAUACAGAACAUCACUGCAAAAUAAUUUGAACAUUCAAUUAGGUGAUUAUAAUAUUAUUUGGCAAUCCAGAGAGAACCUGAAAAUAUUAGACCAACGUACGUUUUCACACCCCUUUUUUUUAACUGAAUUUGUUCAAGGUAUAGUGGUUUUACCCCUUUUCAGAUUUCAGUAUGUCAUGUUGUAUAUAUUUUAUAAAUAAGAUGAAUUUCUAGUACGUUUCUACGAUAUUCUUUAUCAAUUGACAAAAUACUAUGCAUCUGAAAUUGAAUUAAAUUGUUUACUAUUUGAAAAAGCGCGCCUUCUUAUACUUUAAUUUACCUCCCAUUAUUUCACAUAGCAACACAAAUUAAAAACUGCCAAUCUUUGCUGCAUAUCAAUUUUUUUUCCCGAUAAAAAUAUAUAUCAUGCAACAUAAUCAACUUCACAAAUUGGGAGAAAAUCAAGGUGUUCCGACCAUUGGAUAGUAUUUUAAAAAAAUAAUGAAAGGAUAGCAUGAUUACAAGUUUGAUCCCUGACGACACUGAAAAUCGAAAAUUCACGCAUUUACCUAUCAUAUAAUGUUACGAUGAGGUGAUAAACUUAACAAGAAAUAAUUUACCUGAUUCGUUAUCAUAUUCACAUUACGUUGACACGUCUUAGUUCGUUUGUACUAGCUCAUUUUAAACAAGCUAAACAAUUACAGCAUCAUCCGUUUUUUUUUUACCGAUUACCUCUAGUCAGAAGAGCGCACUGUUUACAGGGGAGGUAAUAUUUUGUCACCAGUUCGCCCACUGGUAUAUCGCUGUUCGAAUGCGUAAUUUAAACGUUUAAUUUGGUAUCUUUUUAUAAGACAUCUUAAAUACAAAUAUCCCUAUACUACAAUUGAAGCAGCAUCUAUAUCCAUUCCGGAACAACUGAUAGCAUUCCCGAAUCUCGUCGGGUUCGUGUAGCUAGGCAUUAGUUUCUCAUAUAGAGUUUUAUAGAAUAUUGUUUGUCUUUACUCUGUUCUUUGCCAUUUUAUUGUCUUCAACAUAUGAAUAUUAUUCUUUAUAUUCCGCCUCUUUCUUUAUAAAACGUUUCAUUGCUUAUGAAGAGAAUUAUAAAUUAUCUGAAUAGCUAACUAGUUGCUUGACUAUUAAUAAAUAAGUUGUAUAUCAUAUUUAUUUGAAAACGGUUGAUUUGAUACUUUCUAUUUAGUAUACAAUUUCUAUCCGCAGUUUUCAAAUAGAUAUAUCCUCAAUUGAAUAAGAAAAGAAUGUUCAAAACUUUUUGCGUUUCUCUUUUUAAGUUUACCUUACCAACUAGGCUUCCUUCAUUGUCCGUCCGUCCGCCGUCUAAAUUAAAUACAAUCUUCUUAUCUGAAACCACUAAACCGACAGUAUAAAACUUUUCCGUCCAUUUGACACACAAACACUAUUGAUAAGUAUAGAAUAGAAUUACCACUGAAACGUCCACUUUAAGUUUAUUUUGCAGUUUGUGUUUAUUAUCUUGUUAACUAUAAAAGAUCGAGGAACAGUUUAAAUGGUACAAAUAAUAGAACUAUAAGAUGAACAAAUAAGUCAACUGAUCAAAUUCUGAAAAUGAUAAUUUGAAGGAGUUAAUGCUUAUGAAAGACAAAAGAUGGAAAACAAUGCCUACCAAUUUUUCAUGUCUUCCGAAACUUUUAUUAUAUAGGGGGAAAUUUUUUAAAUGGAGUGAAUUCGUUAAUAUUUUAUUUGGUUUUCCAGCUAUUGAGAUUAUUAUGUUUGUGUUAAAUUUAUAUUUCCGUUACAGAUAAGAUUGCCAUUAUUAUCAAAAUUGACAAAAUUUAUUACAGAAUUUCCCCUCGUUCAUAUGAUCAAAUUAACUAUUUAUACUUUUUUAUAAAUCAGUAUGUCCACAAAAGUUAAAUUACGUUUUUCAAUAAACAUUCUUCGUCAAUUUUAGCACGAUGUCUAAUGUAUGUGUUACCAUUGGUUCUGAUUGGUUUACUCCUACAAAACUGUUUUAAUAUGUUAAUUGACUUUUCAUCUCCGAAUGACGUUACUUUGUCACAUGCUUUUGAGUAUUAAAUAGUAUUGCUAUACAUUUCUCAUAAUACGGUUUUACUGUCUACAGAUAUAAUUAUAUCCUGGUAAGUCAAAUUCAUUUUUGAUUACAAAAAUUUACAAGAGUGAUGGAAAAAAGUUACUUUGAAUAAUAACAAAACAUUUGUCCUCUGAAGAUUAAUCCAUCUGAAUGGUAGGCAGCAUUUAAGUGAUGCUUUGUUCCAU
rnacentral:lncRNA from 1 species